UACGUAGGUGGCAAGCGUUGUCCGGAAUUAUUGGGCGUAAAGCGCGCGCAGGCGGUCCUUUAAGUCUGAUGUGAAAGCCCACGGCUCAACCGUGGAGGGUCAUUGGAAACUGGGGGACUUGAGUACAGAAGAGAAGAGUGGAAUUCCACGUGUAGCGGUGAAAUGCGUAGAGAUUUGGAGGAACACCAGUGGCGAAGGCGACUUUCUGGUCUGUAACUGACACUGAGGCGCGAAAGCGUGGGGAGCAAACAGG
rnacentral:rRNA from 1 species